GGAUGACGGCAUGCUAUACAUGCAGUCGAGCGAUGGAUUAAGAGCUUGCUCUUAUGAAGUUAGCGGCGGCACCGUUGUGAGUAACACGUGGGUAACCUGCCCAUAAGACUGGGAUCAACUCACGAGGAAACCGGGGCUAAUACCGGAUAACAUUUUGAACCGCAUGGUUCGAAAUUGAAAGGCGGCUUCGGCUUCCACUUAUGGAUGGACCCGCGUCGCAUUAGCUAGUUGGUGAGGUAACGGCUCACCAAGGCAACGAUGCGUAGCCGACCUGAGAGGGUGAUCGGCCACACUGGGACUGAUACACGGCCCAGACUCCUACGGGAGGCAGCAGUAUGGAAUCUUUCCGCAAUGGACGAAGGUUCGGACGGAGCAACGUCGGCGAGUGUGGGUGAGGGC
rnacentral:rRNA from 1 species